GACGAACGCUGGCGGCGUGCUUAACACAUGCAAGUCGAACGGAAAGGCCCUGCUUUUGUGGGGUGCUCGAGUGGCGAACGGGUGAGUAACACGUGAGUAACCUGCCCUUGACUUUGGGAUAACUUCAGGAAACUGGGGCUAAUACCGGAUAGGAGCUCCUGCUGCAUGGUGGGGGUUGGAAAGUUUCGGCGGUUGGGGAUGGACUCGCGGCUUAUCAGCCUGUUGGUGGGGUAGUGGCUUACCAAGGCUUUGCCGGGCAGCCGGCCUGAGAGAGUGACCGACCACAUUAGGACAGAGAUACGCCCCAGAAUCAUACGGGAGGCAGCAGUGGAGAGUAUUACACGAUGGGCGGAAGACUGAUGCAGCAGCGCCGCGUGCGGGAUGACGGACGUCGAGAUGAAAACCGCUUUCACCUGUGACGAAGCGAGAGUGACGGUAAUGAGUAAAGAAACGCCGGCUAACUACGUG
rnacentral:rRNA from 1 species